GUUUUCACCAUGUUGGCCAGGCUGGUCCCAAACUCCCGACCUCAGGUGAUCUGCCCGCCUCGGCCUCCCAAAGUGCUGGGAUUGCAGGCAUGAGCCACCAUGAGCCACCAAGAAGCCUUAGCUUCUUGAUUUCCUUUUUUUGAGACGAAGUCUCACUCUGUUGCCGGGCUGGAGUGCAGUGGCACGAUCCUGGCUCACUGCAACCUCCCUCUCCUAGGUUCAAGCGAUUCUCC
rnacentral:lncRNA from 10 species